AGCAGCCGCGGUAAUUCCAGCUCCAAUAGCGUAUAUUAAAGUUGUUGCAGUUAAAAAGCUCGUAGUUGAACUUCGGGGUCUACCCAUUGGUCAGGCUUAAUUGUCUGCACUGGUGAGAUGGAUCUCUACCUUCUGAGGAACUUUCAUGCCAUUUAUUUGGUGUGGUUGGAAAUCAGGACUGUUACUUUGAAAAAUUAGAGUGUUUAAAGCAGACUAUCGUCUGAAUACAUUAGCAUGGAAUAAUGAAAUAGGACGGACUGAUUCUAUUUCGUUGGUUUCUAGGAUCACCGCAAUGAUUAAUAGGGAUAGUUGGGGGCAGUUAGUAUUCAAUUGUCAGAGGUGAAAUUCUGGAUUUAUGAAGACUAACUACUGCGAAAGCAUUGCCAAGGAUGUUUUCAUUAAUCAAGAACG
rnacentral:rRNA from 1 species